GGGAUUAUGUAAGCUUUACAAUAUUUACAAAGGUCGGGCCCAAAAGUGACCCGACCCAACAAACAUCCAUAUCUCAGACAACAAAUCCUUAGCCGAUGAAUUUAGGAAAGUAGAAGUAGCUUUCACUCCCUUUAUCUUGCUCUUCAAUCAACCAAUUUGCCAUGACUCUUGAUACUUCCAUGGAAUCUACAGUCGACUACACUAUAGAGAGUUCAACACCUUGCUUCAACUAUGUUCACUUGCUCAAUUACUCAACUGUAUUGUUAUAUUUCUCAAUUUCUUUAACUUUUUUCAUCAAACCAGUGGAUUGAGCUUCAAUUAAAGCUAAUACCACCACUUAAUCUAAGAAGUCAGUCAAGAAAACUGUAAAAAGCAAUGCUUUGAUCCGUGAAAUUGUGUAGCAGGUAUGUAACACCAUAAAUUGGUAGCUUCCAAUAUUGUUUGAAUACUCCAAUCAGUCGACACCUCAAGCUCCUACCAGGUGUAGAUCUUCGUAUUCAAGGAACUCACUUCAAACAAGGUAUUAUCAUCUCUUUGGUUGCUACAACUUUCGAUGAUUUUGUAACCCCCUUUACACUUUUUUACUGUUAAAGGUCUUAUUUAUGACAUUCCUGCUUGGUGAAUCUUCAAUUUCAUCCUGAUUGUUACAUAUACUUUAUUGUGAGUAUUUCUUCCGUUGUUACUCUUUCGUCUACACCCUCCGCUGAUGGAUUGAGUUUCAUUGGAAACUAAUACCACCACCAACUGAAAGUGUAGAUUUAAGAAAAAUAACAUCUCAUACAUACCAUUAUGAUGUUUGGUUUCGUAUGCUACCAAACUUACUCUAUUAAAAAUAUUUCUACCUUUAAAAUUAUAUGAAUCGACCUUUAAUAGGUAUAUCCCUCUUAUUCAUAUUGUAGCUUAUAUUAAUGCUUAGCGUAACCAGUGCAUAGUCAGUAUUCCUUGUCUUGGUGUUAUGAAUCGUAAACUAUCCGUCGAAAGCUCGGUGUUCCUAUUUUAUCUAUGUUUAAUAUUCUUAUUUCUUUUAUUGGUACCUCUCUAUAAUUACUGAAUUGAAAAUCACUUUCAAAUCAAAAAGAUAGGUUAGUAAAAAAAUCAGUAAGAGUAUUACCCUCCCUAAGAAAAUGUACUAUUCUCACUGAUAUACAGUCAUGAUGGCUUUAAUGGAUUUGACCUCCAUUGUCACACUUCAUUGAACAUCCCACUCAUCAUUUAAAAUUUUCACCAUUGUACAAGAGUCUAUCUCCACCACAAUCUUCUGAAUAUCAUUUUCUUUGCAGAAAAUUAAGCACUUUCUAAUAGCAAUAGCAUCUAUUACCAAACUUGCAGUGCCUUGAAUUCUAAAUCCUUUAUUAACUAUGUAUUCCCCUUCCCACUUUCUAAUGCAGAAUGCAAUAGAACUAGGGCCUGGAUAUCCUUUUAUAGUGCCAUCAGUAUUCACUUUAAGCCACCUAUUACUAAGGAAAACCCAUUUCACAACUCUAAAUGAAUAUGAGUUCCUGUAGCAUUGUGAUGAAUCAAUGAUGUUAGCCUAAUCCUUUACUGGAAUCUCCAUUUUAAACCUGUACUUGAUGAAUCUAAUAAUUUCAGCAUCAACUUCCCAAAAAAUCUUCCUCUCAUGAUAAUCGUCUCCAUGAAGAAUAGUGUUUCUUUUCUUCCACAAAAGCUUAGGAAUCAGUAUAGGAACCACAUUAAUCACAGACUUUAUUCUUCAAUUACCUUUCUGAUUUCUCCAUAGUCUGACACUUUGUUUUAAAUUGAACCUUUGAUCUAUGAUACCAGCAUCUCCAUUGUAAUUGGACCACACUUUAUCAACAACCUCAUUAUUUAAAAAUAAAUGCUCUAUAGUUUCCCUUUCUGGAUUUAUGCAGCAUCUAGAAGUAGUAGUAACUUCAAAAUUCCAUGCAUUCAUUGAGACAACUACAAGAACCAAACCUACAAAAACCCUCCGAGAAAGAAAAGAGUUCUUAAAAGGCAACCCUUUGUACCAAAUAGCUUUUAGAUCUUCAUUAACAUCAGCUCAUUUUCUUAAUACCUCCCAGCAUUCUUAGUGGUGAAUUUGCCAUUGCUAUUCUUUAUCCACCAAGAUCUAUCCAUCAUGUUCUCAUAUAGAAGAGGUUCCAUAUUUUUCUUGAGAUGAUCCAAGAUAUAACUUAGGACUACCUCCUGUAUUUUUUUAAAAGCCCACCAUUCUUAAUUCAUAAGCUCAUUAAUAUCCUUUAAAAGAUGGCAAGUGAACAUCAGUAGGGUGCAAAUAAUGGACCAAUGUUGGUCCAGUUCUCAAACCAUAUAGAUGAAGUGCCACUCAUUGGUUCCCACCAAAGGAAUUGUUCAUUUUCUCCCUACUAUUCAACAUAUCUUUCCACACUUGAGAACCCCCUAUCCAUUGCAAUAAAGUUGGAAUUUAUAUUUUACGGUACUUGUUCCAAAGGAAAUUAGUCCAUAAAUUAUUUGUCCUGAAUAUCUAUCACAACUUAGCAUGCAUAGUUUGGAACAUAUCUUCAAUGAAUCUAAACCCUAAUCCACCAUCUUCUUUGGGUAGAAAGACCUUGUCCCAAGCAGACUAGUGUUUGCUUUUUCAUGUGUCUUUAUUAUGCCAAAAGAAUUUAGCAAAAAUUCUUUGUAAGUCAUUCACCAUACUUUUAGGGAUAAGGAUAGUUGAUAUAAUGUAAAUGGGGAUGCUUUGUAGAAUACUUUAUAGCGAUACUUCCUUCCCGACAUAUGAUAAGAGCCUACCCUUCCAGGCCUAUAGCUUAUUCCUGACUUUAUUCAUCAAAUAUAAAAAGUAUUCCUUCUGGUUCUUUGAAUAGGAAAUGGGACAACCAAGGUAUUUUAGAGAAAAGUACCUUUAGCAAUCCCUGUGAUUUGUUCCACCCACUACAUCCUACCCCUAGAGGUAUUAUGGUGCAUAUAGAAAAAACUUUUAUCCUUGUUCACCUUCUGCCUAGAUUUCUGCACAUAUUUCUAUAAAAUCAUUAUUGUUUUUCCAAUAGAAUAGUCAUUAGAGGAAUAAAAAAUGAUAGUGUCACCAGCAUAUGUCAAUUGGUUCAUUUUUUAGCUCCACUUAGGCAUACCAUAUCACAUAAAGGAAUCAUCCUCAAGAAGAUGAUUAAGAGCCCUUGUCAACACCUCAACAGAUAAUAUAAAGAGAAUAGGUGACAAGAGAUCUCCUUGUUUCACUUUCCUUGUAUAAUGGAAAAAACCUAUUAAUUUCCAUUUAAUAACACUAAGUAGUAGUUAUUUGAGAUCAGUCUCCAAAUUAUAUCGACUACUCGAUUAGAGAAUCCUAUUUUCAUGAGAACUUUCAUAAAAGAAUAUCAAAAGACUCUGUCAUAAGCUUUAGCCAUAUCAAGUUUAAGAACCAUAUUAGGAGGUUUACCUCUUUUCUCAAAAUCAGUAACCAACUUUUGUGUUAGCAACACAUUUUUAAACAAUAUUUCUCCCUUUCACAAAACCUGAUUGAUUAGGAAAUAUCAGUCUAGGCAAAAUGAUUUCCAAUUUAUUAUGAAUAAUUCUUGAUAGUAGUUUAUUCACAAAAUUACUCAAACUAAUUAGUCUCAAGUCUAAAAAGGAUUGAACAGUAUCCUUUUUUGGGAUGCGAACCAAGUUAGUAUGAGUAAUUGAUUUUGGAAGGAUAUUUUAUGAAAAGAAAUCCAGCACCAGUCUGAUAACAUCCAACCUAACAAUGGCCUAACAAUAUUUGUAAAACCUCUGGAAGCCCAUCAGGACCAUAAUCACUAUCCCCAUUUAAACUAAAGACAACCUUUUCAAUCUCUUCUUCAUCAGGGAAAGCCCCUAAAAUAUCAUUAUUUUCUUCUAUGACCAUCUCUGGAAUAUGAUCAAGAAGAGAGAAGUCAGAUGUACCCCUAUCUUAAGUGAAUUGCUUUUGAUAAAAUUAAUAGCUUCAUUGGCAAUUUUAUCCUUCUCUUCUAACCAGAAACCCUAUUUAUCAAGAAUUCUAAACACCUUGAGUCUAUUUAUCCUCCCUCUCAUAAUACCAUAAAAGAAUCUUAUAAAACUAUCACCACUUUCAAACCAUUCAUACGCUGCCUUUUAUUGUCAAAAACUCUCCUCUAAAUUAAAAUAUAUGAUGUAUUUAGCCUUGGCCUUUUUACAUUACGACCCUAUUUUCCUGAGAAUGAUAAUCUUCAAAUAGUUUUUUUAAUCUUGGCUAUCUUUUCUCUAAUUAUCAGCAGCUAAAAAAUAUCCCCGUAUGCUUGCCUACUAAACAAAGUGAAAGCCUUUUUCACCUGCUUACACUUUAUUUUGAAGUCCAAAACUAGAUUUCAGUAUUGUUAGUAUCCCAAUUCCUUCUUACAACCUCUAGAAAGUAUGCAUGUUCAGUCCAAAACUUUAUAAAUUUAAAGGGUCUAAGAAAUCUGCUUGUUCUAUUCUCGUACUUCAGCAAUAAAGGAGCAUCAUCUGACCUAUCUCUAUGUAAAUGUUCAACCUAUACAUGGAAGAAACAAUUUUGAAAAAAAUAAUUGGUGAAACAUCUAUCAAGCCUCUCAAAUAUGCAAUCAUCUCCUGCUCUACUAUUCCACCAUGUAAAGAGGCUACCUUGUAUAGUACUUAUGUCAAAUCACAGGAUCCAACACAAUGAUGAAAAUCUUCUACAUCUUCAAGUACCAUUGGUAACCCCCAAAUUUUUUCUGCACCAUUUAAAACAACAUUAAUAUCACCCCCUAUUAUCCAUGGUAUGUUGAGGUCAUUGGCUAUAGAGUGAGUAUUCUCCCACAACUCCAAUCUCUGACUUUUAUCACACUUAGCACAAACAACUAUCACCAUAAAUGAGUUACCACUCACUUGAUCACUCAACAACAUGGAGAGUUAUUGAUCAGUAUCACUAACAACUAUAGCAUUAAAUCCAUGGUUCACAAAGAACAAAAUUUUACCAUUACAAUUAUGAAAAACUAGAGGCAUCUAAAUUCUGUUCUUAUAUAUGUUGGUAGUUUUGAUAUGGUGAAAAGGCUCUGAUAAACCUAUGAAAGUAAAUUGAAACCCAUAGAACAUCUGAAUUCUCUAAAAAUCCCUUUGUGAAUUUAUAGAUCUGAUAUUCCACAUAAUGACCUUCAUUAUCAAUUUGCCUUUUGGUUCACUAUAUUUCUCUUUAGUUGGGUUCUGGCUGGUAGUGAAGCCUCCUUAGUACCAUAUUUCUUCCUUCUUCUUGCUGCUUUGAUUGAUUUGAUUUCUUUUGGUGAUAAAUCAGCAUCCAUACUAAUGUUAUCUUCAAGCUGAACUAAUUUCUCCUUACCAUCUUCUAUUUCUGCAUAAAUUUCCAUCUCCUCAAGAUUAUGAGUCAAUAUAUUAUGUAACACAUCAUUGGGACAAUCAACUACACCACUCCAAAUUGGAGUUGCAUCAAUAGCUAAUGAGGAAUCCAUAAUAGAUAGUUUACUAUUCCCUGUAGUUGAUAAACUCCUUUUAUUAUUGGUAACUGUUGUUACAUCUUGCUCGUUUUGAUUAUUAAAUCCUAUGACUUUUGCAAGUUCUAGUUGUUCAUCACUACCAUCGUAUUAAGAAUUAUCUUCUAGAGUAAUCAAGGUAUGAUCAUUACCCUUAUCCUCCUCUAUUGCUAGCUUAAUAUUAGAGCUAAUGUUCGUAUUAGAUUCCAUUGCUUUGUGCAUAUCGGGACGAGCUUGCAUAUCUUCUUCACCCUUUGAAAAAUUAUCUACAUUAUUGUAUAAGGUAUCAUCUCCCUUUUCUACUGCUUCUAAUUAUUCAUUAUUUGUACUAUUACUCAUAUUUGUCUCCAAUUUCUUCAUUGCACAGGGCUCCUAAGGUUCUCCACUGAUAGAGUUGAAUUAAGCUCUUUUUCAUGAAAAGACUUGGAUAUCCAGUUCGUUGUAGUUUUAUUUUUAUCCUAUUCCUCAUUUAUCUCAUUAUUUUGAUCUUUGUUUUGUAAUGUAUUAAUGUCCUUUGUUGCUCUUGUGUGAUCCUCUCCUUUUUCUGUCAAAGUUGUAGGUUACAUAUCCCUUUAUCUGGUGCUCUGGCCUUCUCACUAAGGUAAUCUUCUUCUUAUUGGGUUCCACUAUCGAUUAGGUCCAUAUCUCCUUUCAAUUAACCUCUGGUAGGGCUAGCUUCAACCUCUUCCUGUUGAGAGUUAUUCUCUUUCUCUACUUUCUGCCAUUGUGCUUGUUUUAGUUCAAGGUGAAGGACCCUACAAUCCUGCUCAUUAUGUCCUUGCAGUAUACACGUCUUACAAUAUAUAGGUAGACCUAAAGAUUUUUCUAUAGACGGAAUUAUGUAUGAUGCAAAUACCAAGUAUAAAAGAUUGCUAAAUGCAAUAGCAAAACAACUCAAGAUCGACAUCAACUCAAUUCAAAUUAUCUGUAUUAUAUUUGUAGGUAGACCUAAAGAUUUUUCUAUAGACGGAAUUAUGUAUGAUGCAAAUACCAAGUAUAAAAGAUUGCUAAAUGCAAUAGCAAAACAACUCAAGAUCGACAUCAACUCAAUUCAAAUUUGAGAUUAAGUUCUUCAUUGAUA